CAUCCUCCAAGGCUAAAUACUCCUGACUGACCGAUAGUGAACCAGUACCGUGAGGGAAAGGCGAAAAGAACCCCGGCGAGGGGAGUGAAAAAGAACCUGAAACCGUGUACGUACAAGCAGUGGGAGCACAGGUUUACCUGUGUGACUGCGUACCUUUUGUAUAAUGGGUCAGCGACUUAUAUUCUGUAGCAAGGUUAACCGCUUUGUGGUAUAGCGUAUAGACCCGAAACCCAGAGUCAACCCUGUUCAGAGUCAAGGAAGACCAAGGGUUCCUGUCCAACGUUAAUCGGGGCAGGGUGAGUCGACCCCUAAGGC
rnacentral:rRNA from 1 species